rnacentral:rRNA from 1 species
UACGAAGGGGGCUAGCGUUGCUCGGAAUGACUGGGCGUAAAGGGCGCGUAGGCGGUUCGUACAGUCAGACGUGAAAUUCCCGGGCUCAACCUGGGGACUGCGUUUGAUACGUGCGGGCUUGAGUUCGGAAGAGGGUCGUGGAAUUCCCAGUGUAGAGGUGAAAUUCGUAGAUAUUGGGAAGAACACCGGUGGCGAAGGCGGGCGC